rnacentral:lncRNA from 1 species
UCCUCCUUUCAACACUACUGCUGCUCCUCUACUUAAAACUGCUGCUGCUCCCUCUCCCACGUCCCUGCUGCUGCACUCCUUCUCUGAACCUCUCUCUUGCAGCUUGUUGCUGCUCCUCUAUCCAUCCCCACGCUGCUGCCUCUUCUUCUCCCAUGAAACUCCUCCUCCUCCUCUCUCUCUAAGCCACCUUCUGUUGCACCUGCUCUCCAACGCCCCUGAUGCCCAGUUGCUCCUCUUUCCCUUUCCUUUCUGCUGCUAAUCUGAACCCACUACUUCUCUGAUCCCACCUGCUGUUAUUUCUAUGAACUUGAGAGUUGUAAGACUUUGAAAUGUCCAGAUUUGAACUAGUAUUGGUACGCUAGAUAUAUGUAUGUUUAGUCCAGAGACAUGGUGUUCUUGCUUAUUUUGUAGCUUAGUGUGAACUAGUACUAUUGACACUAUUCGUUUGUGUUGAAAUUAGUUAAAUUCAUCACUGUGUAUUGCUUGCCGUAGAACCUUGUUUCAUUUUGUAGUCUCUAUGUUAGUUAUCUACCAGUGGUAUAUGUGUUGUGAUAUGAAGUAUUUCCAUUAUGUCCCAUAAUCAUGUUUCCUCAAUCUUUUUCAUGUGAGAUAAAUUUAUGUGUUCUUAUCUUGUGACUUCCCUCUUGUCGUUGAUGUUCGUCUGUGUUACUGUUUUAGUUUCUCAAGCCUAAUGAAAAUACGAAAAAGACAGUGAGUAAUAUCUUAAUCUCCCUGUGCUAUUUGCAUUUUAUUUGUGAAAGAUAUUCGGGUACAACCUUGUUUAGUUUACUUUUAUUUUCCUG